CCCCUUUUCCCCCUCCUCACGACCCCUCCCCUAGUACACUUCCUGCUCUGUCCAUGGCUCCCUUCACCCUCUAGAUCUCCUCCACUGCAGCAAGGAUUGAGAAGAGAAGGGGCAAGAUGGAUUGAAGAGGAAGAGAGGAUUGAGGAGAUAUGCUAGAUCGGUGUUUUCCCCAACCUUCCCUUGCGGAUUUUCAUGGGAAAGCCUUAGGUAAGAGUCGAAUCCAUCUCCUUCCCCUGUAAUUAAGUAUUUUUGGAGGUUUUGGCUAUGUGGGAUUAAAGGAUUAGGGGUUGGAUUGGAGUUUAACUUCGUUUUCUAGUUGCGGUUUCCUGGCAGAUUCGACAAUUUGUCUAGGGUAUGAGUUUUGGAUAUGUUAGGUGCGGAAUUGAUUUUUGAGAUACAUUAGGAAGUUAUGGAGGAUUUUGUAAUAUUUCCAUAUUAUAUUUAAUUGCAAUUUUUGGUGGAGUAGAAUCCGAGAUAUGGACGGAUUAUUGUGACUGUUCAUGUUUGCCUGGCAGAUAAAGUCAGGUCUGUUCAUUGGUGCUUUUCACAUGGUAAAUGGCCGAAUGAACUCUUCUAACUAUGGAGACGUUUGUAGAGGGAUAAUAGUACUUCCUGUCAGAAAAUUUUAUAAUUUUUGGUUGCAUAGUUUAGGAGAUAUGAAUUUUUAUAUGUUGCUGCCUGGCUGUUAUGCAGAUUCAAAAGUGCUGUUUUGAGUUGUGUUUUAGGUGACCUUAUAAGCCUGAUAAAAUUGUAGUUUUGCUACCAAAGUUUUAGUUUAUUCUCUGAAGUUUCCAAAUACAUAUUUAUUUGAUACCUAAUCUAUUGUAUAAAAAUAGAUACAUAAAAGAUAAGUAUUGUUGCUCUUCAUCAAUGAUGGUGAUAAGGAAUGUAGUUUGUCUAGUCUUAUUGAUAUUAGGGUCUUGGACAUAUGAGCACUCUAUAUUUCUAUAUGAGAAUGCCAUUUGGGUUUGUUGUGCUGAUAUACAUAGGUGGUUUAGCAGGUGGUGUUGCUACGAGGCUUGUACGUCUACAUGGUUGGUAAAGGCAAGUGAACGUAGCUGUUGCAUUGCUACAACUUUAACAUAUUAUUUUUACUACCUCCACUUAUAAAAUGAAGUGCACAUAUUUAUAUGUGAUAAUCUGAGAUGUACAUUUAUGUGGUAAUCUGAAAUAUUAUAUGUGAUGUUUAUAAGUUUGAGAAGAGUAUGAAUAUGUCUUUUUAAUAUAGCUAUAUAGUUGGUACUUUAACAUGGGUGAAUAGAUGAAUGGAUUGUUCCAUGGAUGAAUAAUUUUGAAAAUAUGGAGCUGAAAGUAUAUUUUACAUAUAACAUAUAUACUUGGUGAUUUAUUCUAUGAUAUAUUUUUUUCCUACUGUACUGAAGUCUAUGGAAUCCUUAGUGGUUUCGUAGCUGACGGGUCUGUUUUAGAGGAAUGUGAUCUUGGUGAGGUAUUUAUGCUACUUUAUAUCUCCUAGUGCUAACAUGUGAGGAUCAAAUGAAGUUUGGGUUAUGAGUAAGGUCAGAAUAGUUUCCAGAAGUCUUUGGGUAUAUAUAUUCAACUUAAGAAUUAAGUUUCGGGUUGACUAGCUCUAUUUUAGAAGUUCAUUUUUAAUAUGAUAUACAUGGUUUGGGCUUAGAUUACGAAUUUUGUGCUUUACUCCAU
rnacentral:lncRNA from 1 species